GCUGGGCACGGUGGUGCAUACCUGUAAUCCCAGCAGCUUGGGAGGCUGAGACAGGAGGAAUACAAGUUCAAAGCCAGCAUCAGCAAUAUUGAAACCCUAAGCAAGUCAGUGAGACCCUGUCUCUA
rnacentral:sRNA from 1 species